GAAUCUGUGAACGGCUCAUUAAACAGUGAUAAUUGAUUUGAUGGACAUUCUACACGGAUAACCGUGGGAAACCAAGGCUAGUACGUGCAUAAGACUUCGGUCUGAGUUUAUUAGCUUAAGAUCCAUUUUAUGAUGGUUCAUGGUAAAUGAUCGGAUCGCACGCUUCAAGCGGCGAUGGUUCAUUCAAGUCUCUGACCUAUCAGCUUUCGACGGUCGGGUAUUGGCCCACCGUGGCUUUGACGGGUAACGGGGAAUUAGGGUUCGAUUCCGGAGAGGGAGCCUGAGAAACGGCUACUACGUCUAAGGAUGGCAGCAGGCGCGUAAAUUACCCAAUUCUGACAUAGAGAGGUAGUGACAAGAAAUAGCAACGUGAGGCAAUAGCUUUGCGAUUGCAAUGAGUAGAAUCUACACGUUUCUACGAGUAACAAUUGGAGGGCAAGUCUGGUGCCAGCAGCCGCGGUAAUUCCAGCUCCAAUAGCGUAUAUUAAAGUUGUUGCAGUUAAAACGCUCGUAGUUUGAAUAUCUGCUAUAUGUGGUCGGUCCACUUCGGUGUGAUCCGUCUCACGAACAUAGCAUUCGUUUGCUUUGAUUUAUCAUUGCAAACCGUUUACUUUGAGGAAAUUAGAGUGUUCAAAGCAGGCAAGUGCCUUGAAUACUUCAGCAUGGAAUAAUUGAUAGGACUUCCGUUCUGUCGUUGGUUCUGGGAAUGUGAAGUAAUGAUUAAAAGGGGCGGGCGGGGGCAUUCGUAUUGAACAGUCAGAGGUGAAAUUCUUAGAUUUGUUCAAGACGAACUACUGCGAAAGCAUUUGCCAAGUACGUUCCCAUUAAUCAAGAACGAAAGUUAGGGGAUCGAAGACGCUCAGAUACCGUCGUAGUCUUAACUAUAAACUAUGCCGACUAGAGAUUGGAGGUGAGUCAUUUGGCCACCUUCAGCAUCUUCAGAGAAAUCUAAGUUUUUGGGCUCUGGGGGGAGUAUGGUCGCAAGGCUGAAACUUAAAGGAAUUGACGGAAGGGCACCACCAGGAGUGGAGCCUGCGGCUUA
rnacentral:rRNA from 1 species